CCUGAACACAAACAAGAUGACCCGCUGGACUUAAGCAUAUUAUUAAGCGGAGGAAAAGAAAUUAACAAAGAUUCCCUUAGUAAGGGCGACUGAACCGGGAAAAGCUCAAAAUUGGAAUCAUUAGUUCAACGAACUUCUGAAUUGUAAUCAGGGCAGCCUAAAUACGUAAACAAGCUCAACAGGAUUGAAAACCUGGUCAAAGAGGGUGCUAACCCCGUACAGUUUGUUUGCGAACAAGGUUGUUUCCAAAAGAGUCGGGUUGCUUGGAACUGCAGCCCUAAGUGGGAGAUAUGAUUCUUCCAAAGCUAAAUAUAGAUGGGAAACCGAUAGCGAACAAGUACUGUGAAGGAAAGAUGAAAAGGACUUUGAAAAGAGAGUGAAAAGAUCUGAAAUCGUUGAGAAGGAAGCGGUAAAACUGACGAACGUACUGAAAGACUAAUGAGGUAAUAACUCAGAGGUCUUACCAGAACGCUGGGCAAAAUCAAGUUCUACAUGUCAAAAAAGGUGUAAGCCGGACAGGGCGUGAAGGGCUUGAGGGACUACGGUGAUUUUGCCAAAAUGGUUUUUACCGUCCCGUCUUGUAACACGGACCAAGGAGUCUAU
rnacentral:rRNA from 1 species